rnacentral:rRNA from 1 species
GUAGGGUGCAAGCGUUAAUCGGAAUUACUGGGCGUAAAGCGUGCGCAGGCGGUUUUGGUAAGUCUGUCGUGAAAGCCCCGGGGCUUAACCUGGGGAAUUGCGAUGGAGACUGCAAGGCUUGAAUCUGGCAGAGGGGGGUAGAAUUCCACGUGUAGCAGUGAAAUGCGUAGAGAUGUGGAGGAACACCGAUGGCGAAGGCAGCCCCCUGGGUCAAGAUUGACGCUCAUGCACGAAAGCGUGGGGAGCAAACAGGAUUAGAUACCCUGGUAGUCCACGCCCUAAACGAUGUCUACUAGUUGUCGGGUCUUAAUUGACUUGGUAACGCAGCUAACGCGUGAAGUAGACCGCCUGGGGAGUACGGUCGCAAGAUUA